AGAAGAGAAGUCACUUAUGGAAAGGGAUUCAAAAGCCUUCAAAGAUGGCAAAGACUGAUAAGCAUACUGAUCAUCUUCUUCUUUCUGUACCCUCACCUUAACCCUUGGAUACAUUGUCUUUUAACUUGCAGAAGCUAUCAAGAGUCAACCAGCUAUCUCUUUUCCUGAGUCCUAACUUAGAAUAUGCUUUAGAACUAUACAAAUAGCUCAAAACUCUCCACCUCCUCCUCCUGUUUGGCUUUAGAUAUCUUUAAAAAGGUGAAAUCUUUGGUAAUGAA
rnacentral:misc_RNA from 1 species